rnacentral:rRNA from 1 species
CCUACGGGUGGCAGCAGUGGGGGAUAUUGCACAAUGGGGGAAACCCUGAUGCAGCGACGCCGCGUGGGUGAAGAAGUAUUUCGGUAUGUAAAGCCCUAUCAGCAGGGAAGAAAGAAGACGGUACCUGACUAAGAAGCCCCGGCUAACUACGUGCCAGCAGCCGCGGUAAUCAGUAGGGGGCGAGCGUUAUCCGGAUUCACUGGGUGUAAAGGGAGCGUAGACGGCCGUGCAAGCCAGGAGUGAAAGCCCGGGGCCCAACCCCGGGACUGCUCUUGGAACUGUGCCGCUGGAGUGCGGGAGGGGCAGGCGGAAUUCCUGGUGUAGCGGUGAAAUGCGUAGAUAUCAGGAGGAACACCGGCGGCGAAGGCGGCCUGCUGGACCGCGACUGACGUUGAGGCUCGAAAGCGUGGGGAGCGAACAGGAUUAGAUACCCGUGUAGUC